ACCAGUGACCAAAGAGAGAUACUGAGCUGUUUUUGCGAUGUGUUCCUAAUAUGUGCUAUAAUUAUAUUGGGAACAUUUUGCAUAAAUAGCUUUGUGUCAAUACACAGGCAAAAGGUU
rnacentral:pre_miRNA from 7 species